UUACCGCGCUCAAGAGAGCGCUUGUCCUUCGGUGUCAAUGACACCGGGUUUUUUGUGUCGACCUCCAUCGCUCUCUCUGAGGCGCUGGAGGACCGAGAGUUAGGCGCCGAGACACGUGCCUCGGGCCUUGGGGUUCGUUUGAUUUUAGGGCCCUGCGGGGCUGGUGUCUGCAGGGCCGUCGAGGAGGGUGGAGCAGUACUGACUGCUUCCACCACGGGGGCGGGAGGAGUCACUGCGGCACCACUGCGCGUGGGCUCGGAGGACUCCGGAGGCCUCUGUGACGCUGCCCCCGCCUGCGUCACUUCGGCAUAACUUCUUCGGGGAAGCAAGGGCAGGACCGCGAAUAAGCUGGGUGAUCUCCCUUGCAGUUAACACAAUGUGGCGAAGAAGUGCAAUUCUCUGAUUGGUGGUCGUUGGAGCUGCAUUUAGCACAAGUUGUUUGUCCUCGGCAUGCAUGUGAAGCAUGUCCAAAUCUUUGGCACUUAAAACAUCGUCUGGGAUUCGGGAUAUACGGUCUCACAUUGACUUUGACAUAACCUGCAUCGAGUGAAGUAGGCAUUACGCUUGUUCCGAAGGUGAGUAUAACAUGUUUGGUGGGGAUUUCUUGAUCGUUUCUGCGGAUUACUAUUCUCUGUACUUUGGUAACAUUUUGUUCCUGGAAACCUUCCAGCAGUUCCUCGUCGCUUAAUCCAAUAAAAUCUUCUUCAGAUAUUACUC
rnacentral:lncRNA from 1 species